rnacentral:rRNA from 1 species
UAGGGAAUAUUCCGCAAUGGGCGAAAGCCUGACGGAGCAACGCCGCGUGAGUGAAGAAGGUCUUCGGAUCGUAAAGCUCUGUCAACAGGGACGAAACAAGACGGUACCUGAGAAGGAAGCCACGGCAAACUACGUGCCAGCAGCCGCGGUAAUACGUAGGUGGCAAGCGUUGUCCGGAAUAACUGGGCGUAAAGCGCAUGUAGACGGCAUGAUAAGCCAAAUGUGAAAUGUAGGGGCUCAACCCCUACACUGCGAUUGGAACUGUCAAGCUUGAGUGCAGGAGAGGCAAAUGGAAUUCCCGAGUGUAGCAGUGAAAUGCGUAGAGAUUGGGAGAACACCGAGUGGCGAAGGCGAUUUGCUGGACUGCAACUGACGUUGAGAUGCGAAAGCCAGGGGAGC